GACGGAGGAUGCAAGUGUUAUCCGGAAUCACUGGGCGUAAAGCGUCUGUAGGUGGUUUAAUAAGUCAACUGUUAAAUCUUGAGGCUCAACCUCAAAAUCGCAGUCGAAACUAUUAGGCUAGAGUAUAGUAGGGGUAAAGGGAAUUUCCAGUGGAGCGGUGAAAUGCGUAGAGAUCGGAAAAGAACACCAACGGCGAAAGCACUCUGCUGGGCCGACACUGACACUGAGAGACGAAAGCUAGGGGAGCGAAUGGG
rnacentral:rRNA from 1 species